rnacentral:rRNA from 1 species
UAGAUGCGAGAGUAGAGCAUAUCAAUAAGCGGAGGAAAAGAAACUAACAAGGAUUCUCCCUAGUAACGGCGAGUGAAGCGGGAAGAGCUCAAAUUUGAAAUCUUAAAGGGUUUCCCUUUACGAAUUGUAGUUUAAAGAAGUGUUUUCUGUUGGAGUUUCGGUAAAAGUUCUUUGGAAUAGGACAUCAUAGAGGGUGAGAAUCCCGUAUUUGACCGUUACUUUCCAGCUGUGUGAUACACUUUCAAAGAGUCGGAUUGUUUGGGAAUGCAGUCCAAAAUGGGUGGUAAAUUUCAUCUAAAGCUAAAUAUUGGCGAGAGACCGAUAGCGAACAAGUACCGUGAGGGAAAGAUGAAAAGAACUUUGAAAAGAGAGUUAAACAGUACGUGAAAUUGUCAAAAGGGAAGCGUUUGGCACCAGUGUUGUUUAGUUGAAAAUCAAUUAAAUAUUUUUCGAUUUUAAGUAGUAUUGACCUUAUCAGCUUGCUGCUUUUUUCUCGGAAAUUAUUUAAUGCACUUUUCAGUUAACAAGUCAACAUCAAUUUCUUUUGUUGUAAAGAGGUAAGAGGAAGGUGGCUUGCGCUUCGGCUCAAGUGUUUAUAGCCUUUUACCCCUGCAAUCGGAGAGAUUGAGGUCUGCAGCGUAGAUCCUUCGGGGUUAGAUACAUUUGCUGCUAAGCUAUAGCCUUGUAUAGACAACUUGUUGACUAUGCUCAGUCAUGUAGCUUACUCGCUUAUGCUAUUUUACCUACGCUUAGGAUGUUGACACACGCGCGUGCUCGACUCUAUGCAUGACUCUGCGCAUAUCAAUAAGCGGAGGAAAAGGCGUUAUACCUACGCUUAGGAUGUUGACACACGCGCGUGCUCG